AUGGUGAUCAGAAAGUUCUGGACAUUCUGCAGGUGUGGGGAGAAAUAUGAGGAGGAGGCGGCAGAUGUUAUCCACAAGGAGUGCAAGCGCCUACUUCAGAACUUACUGCAUGAGGCUCGGGUGCAGUCUGUUCGAGAGUACUACGCCGACCGUGGUAUCAAGAAGUCCAAGCAGGAGUGCCGCGAUAAGUUCUUGAGUAAGGAGCAGUACAUGAAGGCCCCUCAGAGAUGGUGUGCGGAUCGGAUGGAUUGUUGGGAGGUGUUGGUCGAUGGGUGGUGCUCAAAAGAAUGGUGGGCCACCCACAACGAGGCCAAGGACAAACGUGCCCAAAUGGAAGGUGUGCCACACCACCAAGGCAUCUCCAACUUAUUUCAGUACGGGUGGAACUGGGCACGCUACAAUAAGGCGGAUAAGGUGCCAGAGGUGUACGACCUGUAUGCCAUGGCCCACACUGUCUCUUACAAGAAAGUCAAGGCAUUCUCUGUGUCUGACCUCGAUGAUCCAAAGAACUUCACCAACAUCUCCACCCACGACAAGCUCAUGCAAUAUAGAGAUCAGGGGAAGGCGAGGACUUUAACCCGAGCCAGGGUCCCAUUGAUACAGAGUUGCUGA
rnacentral:rRNA from 1 species